rnacentral:lncRNA from 1 species
AGAGUCGCAGUCCACUUCCUGUUGUGUUCUGAUCAAGUCAACACCAUGUCUGCCUGCACAAAGCCAUCUCCCCACCGUGAUGACAAUGGGCUGAACCUCUGAACUACAAAAAUGCCAGCUCCUAGAGGUGACCCUAAGGACUCCAAAGAAGACAGCUGGGGCACAGACCUGACUGUGGUAAUGCUAACCAUGGGAAGAGCUGCCCAUGCCUCAUCUGCUGCCAAGGCUCUGCCCAAACUGUGGACCCUGUAGGGUUGACUGUCACACUCUGGCUCGUCCAAGUGAGGGCCCUGGUGCCGGGAGACUCAGCCUGACGCCCACGAAGACGGUCCCCACCGGGACGAGCAGCACAGCCUGACCCCCACCGGGACGCGCAGCACAGCCUGACCCCCACCGGGACGGGCAUCACGGCCUGACCCCCACCGGGACGCGCAGCACAGCCUGACCCCCACCGGGACGCGCAGCACGGCCUGACCCCCACCGGGACGGGCAUCACAGCCUGACCCCCACCGGACGCGCAGCACAGCCUGACCCCCACCGGGACGCACAGCACAGCCUGACCCCCACCGGGACGCGCAGCACAGCCUGACCCCCACCGGGACGCACAGCACAGCCUGACCCCCACCGGGACGCGCAGCACAG